AGAACGUGUGAAAUGCAUCGAAAAUUUGCUUAAUUUAAUUAAUUUGUUAAAUCUUAAAUACUAGUUAAUCUAAAAUCCUAAAUUAUUAGUGCUAUUACUAGUAGGCUAGAAAGUGUAUCUGGAAGGCAGCUCAACGAUUCAUUUCUAUACUCAAUUAGUUUGGUGAAGGUCGAGCCAGCGAGUCGCGAGCUAUUAUCGAAUUAAAUCCGAGUACGAAUUCAUUAAGACCCAUAAACGUAAGUAAUUACAUAACCUGAAAUAGGAAGAAGAAUAACUACUAAGAGUUGCAUAUAUUGCAGGAAAUUUUUAAUACUGGGAAUAAAGGUAUUUAAAAGUUACGGAAACUUCUUUAUUGUU